rnacentral:tRNA from 1 species
GGGAGUAUAGCUCAGUGGUAGAGUACAUGCUUAGCAUGCAUGAGGUCCUGGGUUCAAUCCCCAGUACCUCCA